rnacentral:lncRNA from 1 species
AAAAAAAAACAGUCCUAAGGGGGGAAAAAAAAGAAGAAGAACAAGCAUAAGAGGAAGAAGGUUAAGUUGGCUGUGCUGAAAUACUAUAAGGUGGAUGAAAAUGGCAAAAUUAGCCGACUUCGUCGAGAGUGUCCUUCUGAUGAAUGUGGUGCUGGAAUUUUCAUGGGAAGCCACUUUGACAGGCAUUACUGUGGCAAGUGUUGUCUGACUUACUGCUUCAACAAACCGGAAGACAAGUAG